CUUAACACAUGCAAGUCGAGGGGCAGCAUGGUCUUAGCUUGCUAAGGCUGAUGGCGACCGGCGCACGGGUGAGUAACACGUAUCCAACCUGCCGUCUACUCUUGGCCAGCCUUCUGAAAGGAAGAUUAAUCCAGGAUGGCAUCAUGAGUUCACAUGUCCGCAUGAUUAAAGGUAUUUUCCGGUAGACGAUGGGGAUGCGUUCCAUUAGAUAGUAGGCGGGGUAACGGCCCACCUAGUCAACGAUGGAUAGGGGUUCUGAGAGGAAGGUCCCCCACAUUGGAACUGAGACACGGUCCAAACUCCUACGGGAGGCAGCAGUGAGGAAUAUUGGUCAAUGGGCGAUGGCCUGAACCAGCCAAGUAGCGUGAAGGAUGACUGCCCUAUGGGUUGUAAACUUCUUUUAUAAAGGAAUAAAGUCGGGUAUGCAUACCCGUUUGCAUGUACUUUAUGAAUAAGGAUCGGCUAACUCCGUGCCAGCAGCCGCGGUAAUACGGAGGAUCCGAGCGUUAUCCGGAUUUAUUGGGUUUAAAGGGAGCGUAGAUGGAUGUUUAAGUCAGUUGUGAAAGUUUGCGGCUCAACCGUAAAAUUGCAGUUGAUACUGGAUGUCUUGAGUGCAGUUGAGGCAGGCGGAAUUCGUGGUGUAGCGGUGAAAUGCUUAGAUAUCACGAAGAACUCCGAUUGCGAAGGCAGCCUGCUAAGCUGCAACUGACAUUGAGGCUCG
rnacentral:rRNA from 1 species